UUAGGGACAGGGUUUGUCCCUCUGUCAACGAAACGGUUCCGCGCCCAAAUACACAGUGAAGUUUACGAAACACAAUCCAAAGAAACACGUCCUUCUACAGUGCUGUCUCUGCUUCAGCUUCAGCCAUCAUCAUCGUCUUCGUUGCCGCUCCUGAAUCCCAGCAAAAUCGAGGACGAACUGCUGCACCGCCUGCCUCCGCCCCCGCACUUCAUCGACCACCGCCACUACCACCACCAGUCAAUCGUCGACGACGACGCCUUCUCCCUCUCCGAAAUCGCCCUUUUCCGCGACCACGACGAAGACGAAGACGAGGCCAGCGGAAGCCGCACUUCUUCCGACGGCGAAAUCCCCCUCCAACCACCGAGCGCCGAAAACCCCUUUCAGAACCCUAAUUUCCCCAAUUCCCCUCCGGUCAACCACAGCGACCGCGUAAUCCGUCCCUCGCCGUUCCGCACUAUCCCGGCGCCUUGAAUUGUUGACGGAGAAGCAGCAUUUAGACGAUGUAUUGGUAGUUGAACAUGAUUUGCCUGACUGGGGAGAAGACCAUCACACGAGGAUCUAUGGGGAUGGCGAAGAUGCUGAUGUUCUCGAAGACGAUGAUGGCAUGACAGCUUCGGAAGGACGUUUGGGGAGGUAGCUUCAUGGGAUCCAAUGAGGACAGAGUGUAGGAAUGAAAAGCAUUUACUUGGUGAGACAUGUAAGGAGGAGAAAUGGUUGAAAUACAUUGAGUUUGAUCAGAAGAGAAUUAUUGGAUGCAGUAACUCAAGCUGGCAAAGCCACUAAGGCAUGAAGAAGCAAUAGAUCCAGAUGUAGGCCUUGCUGGUUUAUAGGUGGACAGUUUCUUCCCAGAAAAUCAGAAGUGGCUCGACCCUCCUUGUGGGCUCGAUCCUGGAUCUGAUUGUGGUGAUGGUGGAUGUCGGCAUGGAGGGAUUGUGUAUAGACGAUCGAUAUUGGAUUGCUGCCAAGUUGUCAAUGCUUGAGGCGAACCCGGCCAUUCACCAUUGAACCAGCGGUUAUUAAAAUAAUUUUGAAGUUCAUCCAUCCUUGUCAGCGAGGACUGCUCAGGGUUGAGUAAAAGCUACGAUUGCGUCAGGCCAGCACGACUUUGAAUGAGACAACGAUGCGUCGGGAGAAGCAAGGCAUGAUAAUUCUUGUCGUCUUUCUUCCUUAGUGGAUUUUUCAAGUGAAAUAGUUGGCGUGGAGGUAAAAACAUCCAAAUUUCCAAGAAGGAACUAUUUGAUAACAUCGAUCGAUCGAUCAUUCUACAUAUAAACAAGUCGACGAUGCCGCCGCCACAGGUCGGGAUACUUAAGCUACAUAUAAUCCAAACAGGGACAGCUUUCAUUAUUAAGGGGACUCAAAUGUGGUUUUUUUUUUCAUGGAUUCAAAGGAUGGUUUGAA